rnacentral:rRNA from 1 species
UACGGGGGGGGCAAGCGUUGUUCGGAAUUACUGGGCGUAAAGGGCUCGUAGGCGGCCAACUAAGUCGGACGUGAAAUCCCCAGGCUCAACCUGGGAACUGCGUCCGAUACUGGAUGGCUUGAAUUCGGGAGAGGGAUGCAGAAUUCCAGGUGUAGCGGUGAAAUGCGUAGAUAUCUGGAGGAAUACCGGUGGCGAAGGCGGCAUCCUGGACCGACAUUGACGCUGAGGAGCGAAAGUGUGGGGAGCGAACAGG